GACGAACGCUGGCGGCGUGCCUAAUACAUGCAAGUUGAGCGCUGAAGGUUGGUACUUGUACCAACUGGAUGAGCAGCGAACGGGUGAGUAACGCGUGGGGAAUCUGCCUUUGAGCGGGGGACAACAUUUGGAAACGAAUGCUAAUACCGCAUAAAAACUUUAAACACAAGUUUUAAGUUUGAAAGAUGCAAUUGCCUCACUCAAAGAUGAUCCCGCGUUGUAUUAGCUAGUUGGUGAGGUAAAGGCUCACCAAGGCGAUGAUACAUAGCCGACCUGAGGGGGUGAUCGGCCACAUUGGGACUGAGACACGGCCCAAACUCCUACGGGGGGCAGCAGUAGGGAAUCUUCGGCAAUGGACGAAAGUCUGACCGAGCAACGCCGCGUGAGUGAAGAAGGGUUUCGGAUCGUAAAACUCUGUUGGUAGAGAAGAACGUUGGUGAGAGUGGAAAGCUCAUCAAGUGACGGUAACUACCCAGAAAGGGACGGCUAACUACGUG
rnacentral:rRNA from 1 species